GGUGGAAGCGGACGUAAAAUACAACUAACUAACAACAACAACAAAAGCCGACCUUUCUCGUCUUGAAUUGUAAUAGAUUAGAUAUUUGGGACUAGAAUAUUUCGAAGUGUAUUUUAAGAUGCCUCAUUAUCGUUGUGUUAUUGAGAGUUGUGGAAAUUAAAGCAAAAAAGGGGGCAUAAUGUACUGGCGUUUCAUAAAUUUCCCAAGGAUGAAAUUCAGAAAUCUUAUGGAAAGAGUGGAUUGCGUUUGUAAACAAAUCAAAUCCUGAUUGGCAACCUACAGUCACAACAGUGAUAUGCAGUGAACAUUUUGCAAACGAUUGCUAUGGGCUGCGGCCUAACUUAAUUGAAGUUUUCGUAACACGCAAACAGAUAAAAAAAACUUUUUCCAGGUUCCAUUCCUACAAUUUGCCGGAUAGAUAUUCAACCCUUACCAUUAUUGAAGAAUAUGAAUCGGAUCUCAAUACAGCCUUUAUUAGUACCUCACCAGUCUCCAAAAGACGAAAGUCAGAUAUUCAGUUGUAUGGAGUAUGCCAGGAAGGUUUGUUGACUGACAGUGAUGUACCAGGAGUAGAUGUAUGUGUAACUUCAACAUCUUUAACUGAUGAAAAGAGAAGAGAUUUAAUAACAACAGUAAAUCCUUUGUCACAUACCAAUAAUCAUGGAAUUGAUUUAUUCGUGUCAACUCUGAAUUUCCUUAUGGAAAGCCUUGUAUAAUUUCAAUCAGAUUAACUAUUUCAUUUUAAAGUGUUAUUGUUCAUACAUGUAUUUGUUCAUAUUAUAGAGCUUUAAGGUAGUCUUAAAGUGACCCUUCAAGUUUUUUUUAUCCUAUUGAAUAGAUUGUGAUAUAGCUUUUCUCAUGUCUUUAAACAUGCAUUAUGCAAGAGCUAAAUCUGCCUAUUGCAGGUCUUUCUUUAGGCCUGAAAUGUUUUCUAAUGUAUUUAUUAGACAUUAAUUAACUGAUACAGGCCUUAAUCAACUCUCGAUGGCAUCAGAUUUCUCCGAUAUUAGAUAGAUUAGAAUGGUUCAGCGAUACUUUGAUUUAAUCAAAUAUGGAGGACCGAGACUUAGCUUCGAUCAACCAGUACGGUGGUUGAAAUUAUUGCACACGUCUGUCAAACCUUCAAAGGCUAAUAUCUUCGCUUGCAAUAGAGUAAUUUGAAUGAAAUUUUCAAAUUAGUCAUUUUACAUCAUCUACUUUCGAACUAUUAUAGCAAGAAUGGCUAGUUCUUUAUCUAAAUCUUACAUAAUGUAUAUUUAAAUAAUUAGAAAGUGUACACGUAGUUAUGGCAAGGCAGAGUAUGUUGACUCUUCCAGGAACAUUUGAUAUUGCUUUUAAUUCACACAUGUAACAUUUUUUACUGUUUAGUUAUCACGAUUCUAAACCUUUUUUAUAUGAAUCUUAAAUUAAGUACAACUUAGAAUUUCUCUCCUGCAGUUAUGAAACCUGUGAAUAAAACCCAAGGUGCAUGAGGAGAUUAAUUCAUAGGUAGACAAAAAUAUCAAUGCAUGUAAAUUGUCAGUAAAUCUAUAUUAUAUAGUGAUCUUAUCGUUGUAUACAUUUCUUCCUUACAUCAAACGAAAGCAUGCCAGUAUCUAGCAUAUAACCAAAAGUUAGCCAUGCAAAGCAUGGACAUGGACAACCACACAGCAGCCAUGUCUCAACAGCAGCUUAUUCAAAAGAAAACUUGGGUGUUGACCAAAACUGAUAAGGAAUAUUGAUAGUGUUCAUCCUCUCAUGACCACAAUGCUUCAUAAAGAAUUCAGAUAUUCAGUUGUAUGGAGUAUGCCAGGAAGGUUUGUUGACUGACAGUGAUGUACCAGGAUUAGAAUGGUUCAGCGAUACUUUGAUUUAAUCAAAUAUGGAGGACCGAGACUUAGCUUCGAUCAACCAGUACGGUGGUUGAAAUUAUUGCACACGUCUGUCAAACCUUCAAAGGCAAAUACCUUCCAUAAAUUGUA